rnacentral:misc_RNA from 1 species
GAUGAAGAACGUAGCGAAAUGCGAUAAGUAGUGUGAAUUGCAGAAUUCAGUGAAUCAUCGAAUCUUUGAACGCACAUUGCGCCCCUUGGUAUUCCAUGGGGCAUGCCUGUUCGAGCGCCAUUUGUACCUUCAAGCUCUGCUUGGUGUUGGGUGUUUGUCUCGCCUCUGCGUGUAGACUCGCCUCAAAACAAUUGGCAGCCGGCGUAUUGAUUUCGGAGCGCAGUACAUCUCGCGCUUUGCACUCAUAACGACGACGUCCAAAAGUACAUUUUUACACUCUUGACCUCGGAUCAGGUAGGGAUACCCGCUGAACUUAAGCAUAUCAAUAAGCGGAGGA